AUGGUCAAGCAAUCCAGUUUUUACCACCAUACUAAAAUAUAUAGCAGAUUAGGAGGGUCAAGUACUCACCCUGCAGCACUUUGCCAACGCCUCCUCCCUUCCUCCAGCAACCCAAUCCCCGGACCUGAAACCAAACAUGAUGGAAUAAAAAAUAUGAUGUUUAGGCCGAACAAACAUCAAGAAUCGGAACAGCAGCAAGGGAAGCCUCUCCAUGUGGCAGGCGCAGAUGCACAAAUCGAGCUAGUACCUGAAAACGCAACACCAAAUCAACCUCGCUCCGGCAGAGCUCCGGCAGCGACCUCGCUCUCCACACCCUUCUCGUUUUUCCUACCCACACCCGGCAGCAGCCAGCAGUCACAUCCUUGCAGGAAGAACGGUCGAGCGAAUCAACGAACCUCAGUUACUCACCUCUGCUAG
rnacentral:rRNA from 1 species